AACCGCAUGGUUCAAACAUAAAAGGUGGCUUCGGCUACCACUUACAGAUGGACCCGCGGCGCAUUAGCUAGUUGGUGAGGUAACGGCUCACCAAGGCAACGAUGCGUAGCCGACCUGAGAGGGUGAUCGGCCACACUGGGACUGAGACACGGCCCAGACUCCUACGGGAGGCAGCAGUAGGGAAUCUUCCGCAAUGGACGAAAGUCUGACGGAGCAACGCCGCGUGAGUGAUGAAGGUUUUCGGAUCGUAAAGCUCUGUUGUUAGGGAAGAACAAGUACCGUUCGAAUAGGGCGGUACCUUGACGGUACCUAACCAGAAAGCCACGGCUAACUACGUGCCAGCAGCCGCGGUAAUACGUAGGUGGCAAGCGUUGUCCGGAAUUAUUGGGCGUAAAGGGCUCGCAGGCGGUUUCUUAAGUCUGAUGUGAAAGCCCCCGGCUCAACCGGGGAGGGUCAUUGGAAACUGGGGAACUUGAGUGCAGAAGAGGAGAGUGGAAUUCCACGUGUAGCGGUGAAAUGCGUAGAGAUGUGGAGGAACACCAGUGGCGAAGGCGACUCUCUGGUCUGUAACUGACGCUGAGGAGCGAAAGCGUGGGGAGCGAACAGGAUUAGAUACCCUGGUAGUCCACGCCGUAAACGAUGAGUGCUAAGUGUUA
rnacentral:rRNA from 1 species